rnacentral:misc_RNA from 1 species
UUACUUAUGCUACAGAGGAAGAAAAAUCAAGAUUCAUUCACCCCUCUUCAGUUGUUCAUCCAAAUGCCAUUUUGGGUGAGGGUGUUUCAAUUGGUCCCUUCUGUACCGUUGGGCCUUUCGCGAAGUUAGGGAGUGCUUGUCAACUGUACCCAGGAAGCCACAUCUUUGGAAAUACUGAACUAGGGGACAAUUGCAUCCUGAUGACUGGUGCUGUAAUUGGAGAUGAUCUUCCUGGUCAUACAGUCGUCGGGAGAAACAAUGUUUUUGGGCAUCACGCUGUAAUUGGUAUCAAGUGCCAGGACAUGAAAUAUAAGUUUGG